GGCGGACGGGUGAGUAACGCGUGGGAAUCUACCCAGUAGUGGGGGACAACUACCGGAAACGGUAGCUAAUACCGCAUACGUCCUAUGGGGGAAAGGCUUCGGCCGCUAUUGGAUGAGCCCGCGUCAGAUUAGCUAGUUGGUAGGGUAAAGGCCUACCAAGGCAACGAUCUGUAGCUGGUCUGAGAGGACGAACAGCCACACUGGGACUGAGACACGGCCCAGACUCCUACGGGAGGCAGCAGUGGGGAAUAUUGGACAAUGGGCGAAAGCCUGAUCCAGCAAUGCCGCGUGUGUGAAGAAGGCCUGCGGGUUGUAAAGCACUUUCAGUUGGGAAGAUGAUGACGUUACCAACAGAAGAAGCACCGGCUAAAUCCGUGCCAGCAGCCGCGGUAAUACGGAUGGUGCGAGCGUUAAUCGGAAUUACUGGGCGUAAAGCGCGCGUAGGCGGCUAAGUCAGUCAGAAGUGAAAGCCCCGGGCUCAACCUGGGAAUUGCUUUUGAUACUGCUUAGCUAGAGUUUGGUAGAGGAUAGUGGAAUUCCAGGUGUAGCGGUGAAAUGCGUAGAUAUCUGGAGGAACAUCAGUGGCGAAGGCGACUGUCUGGACCAAAACUGACGCUGAGAUGCGAAAGCGUGGGUAGCAAACAGGAUUAGAUACCCUGGUAGUCCACGCCGU
rnacentral:rRNA from 1 species